CACGGGGGGAGCAAGCGUUGUUCGGAAUCACUGGGCGUAAAGGGCGUGUAGGCGGUCAAGUAAGUGGAAUGUGAAAGCCCCCGGCUUACCCGGGGAUCUGCAUCCCAAACUGCUUGGCUUGAGUACGGGAGAGGAUAGGGGAAUUCCUGGGUGUAGCGGUGAAAUGCGCAGAUAUCAGGAGGAACACCGGUGGCGAAGGCGGGUCUCUGGGCCGGUACUGACGCUGAGGCGCGAAAGCGUGGGGAGCAAACAGG
rnacentral:rRNA from 1 species